AGAGUUUGAUCAUGGCUCAGGAUGAACGCUGGCGGCGUGCUUAACACAUGCAAGUCGAACGGACAUAGAGGGGCUUGCUCCUCUAUGUUAGUGGCGGACGGGUGAGUAACACGUGAGCAACCUGCCCAUAUCAGGGGAAUAACACAGUGAAAAUUGUGCUAAUACCGCAUAAGACCACGGCGAGGCAUCUCGCUGCGGUAAAAGAUUUAUCGGAUAUGGAUGGGCUCGCGUCCCAUUAGAUAGUUGGCGGGGUAAUGGCCCACCAAGUCGACGAUGGGUAGCCGACCUCAGAGGGUGAUCGGCCACAUUGGAACUGAGAAACGGUCCAGACUCCUACGGGAGGCAGCAGUGGGGAAUAUUGGGCAAUGGAGGCAACUCUGACCCAGCAACGCCGCGUGAAUGAUGAAGGUCUUCGGAUUGUAAAGUUCUGUGACGGGGGACGAACACAAUGACGGUACCCCGAUAGCAAGCCACGGCUAACUACGUGCCAGCAGCCGCGGUAAUACGUAGGUGGCAAGCGUUAUCCGG
rnacentral:rRNA from 1 species